UUUGACCUUCAUAAAACCCUCAUAAGAUGGUUUCUUGGUUUUGCAUGAGAGGAUGCAAUUGGGGUUAGUUAACUGGUCACCUCACAAGUAAGGGGAAGAACUAAAGUUGGAACUGAUCUUUUUUAAAAGCAGGACACAACCACAUAGUAGAAUUCUAUUUUGGCUUCAGGACAUGUUAAACAUUUUCUCAGGCACUCCUGGAGGGGAUUCCUCAGUUUAAACUUUCAUCAAUCGACACCCAGAAGCAAACUUCACACCCUCUCUUGUGAAUCAUGUGAUCAAAAAAGGGAUAAGAAAUGAGAAAAUGCUAGGGUGCUGAAGAGUAAACACAGGACAGCAAAUGGAUACACACUGGAUAUUCAUGGUACUGGACUCUCAAGGCUCCAGUGCCAAUGUGGCCCUUAUGGGAAGGAUACCUGAAGACCGAAAAUCCACAGUGCAGAGCUCAGCAGCUAGGCAAAGCCAACAUUGGAGUUUACCUGGUAAACAGUUAGUGCAGAGCUAGCACAUAAUGCUAUCAAAAUGAUAGCUCAUGUGUAAAGUUCUCAUUUUACAUGAACUAACCCUUAAUCCUCUUAAUAAUAUAGGAUGUGAAACCAGCAGCCAAACUCACUAUCCUAUUGUUCCAGAACAUCCAGUCCCCUGGCAAGUGUCCUAACUCAUCUCACACUGUGGUCUCACUUGUCCCCCUGCAUAGACUCCCAGUGACUGCACAGCUCUUCCUGAGCCCCAUCUCUGUGACUGGGGUGCCUUUCCCUUGCAGAAAA